rnacentral:rRNA from 1 species
AACGCUGGCGGCGUGCUAAUACAUGCAAGUCAACUUGACUUUAGAUAGCAAUAUCGAAAAGUAGGGUGGCGCGCGGGUGCGUAACGCGUAGGUAAUCUGCCCUGAGGUCUGACAUAACCCGUCGAAAGGCGGGCUAACAUCAGAUGAUAUAUAAUCACGACAUCGUGGAAAUAUCAAAUCUUCGGAGCCUUGGGAUGAGCCUGCGUCUGAUUAGGUAGUUGGCGGAGUAAUAGCCCACCAAGCCUACGAUCAGUAGCUGGUCUGAGAGGAUGAUCAGCCACACUGGAACUGAGACACGGUCCAGACUCCCACGGGAGGCAGCAGUAAGGAAUAUUGCUCAAUGGGGGAAACCCUGAAGCAGCAACGCCGCGUGAAGGAUGAAAUACUUUGUAUGUAAACUUCUGUAAGAUGGGAAAAAUAUUCUCCUCGGGAGAAUUGAUUGUACCAUCAGAGUAAGCCCCGGCUAACUACGUG